rnacentral:rRNA from 1 species
GAUGAACGCUGGCGGCGUGCCUAAUACAUGCAAGUCGAGCGAACGGACGAGAAGCUUGCUUCUCUGAUGUUAGCGGCGGACGGGUGAGUAACACGUGGAUAACCUACCUAUAAGACUGGGAUAACUUCGGGAAACCGGAGCUAAUACCGUAUAAUAUUUUGAACCGCAUGGUUCAAAAGUGAAAGACGGUCUUGCUGUCACUUAUAGCUGGAUCCGCGCUGCAUUAGCUAGUUGGUAAGGUAACGGCUUACCAAGGCAACGAUGCAUAGCCGACCUGAGAGGGUGAUCGGCCACACUGGAACUGAGACACGGUCCAGGCUCCUACGGGAGGCAGCAGUAGGGAAUCUUCCGCAAUGGGCGAAAGCCUGACGGAGCAACGCCGCGUGAGUGAUGAAGGUCUUCGGAUCGUAAAACUCUGUUAUUAGGGAAGAACAUAUGUGUAAGUAACUGUGCACAGCUUGACGGUACCUAAUCAGAAAGCCACGGCUAACUACGUG